UACGUAGGCAGCAAGCGUUGUUCGGAAUUACUGGGCGUAAAGAGCGCGCAGGCGGUUGUUUAAGUCGAAUGUGAAAGCCCCCGGCUCAACUGGGGAGGGUCAUUCGAUACUGAUCGACUUGAAGGCAGGAGAGGGAAGUGGAAUUCCGGGUGUAGUGGUGAAAUGCGUAGAUAUCCGGAGGAACACCAGUGGCGAAGGCGGCUGCCUGGACCGGUUCUGACGCUGAUGCGCGAAAGCGUGGGUAGCAAACAGG
rnacentral:rRNA from 1 species